CACAGACGAGGGUGGAGAAGCCCAGAUGAAGCUGCCACCGAUGUGGCUAACGCUGCUGCUAACACAGCGCAAGCGGAGCAGGAAGUCUACAAGCCACAGGGGAAGUUAUACACAGCAGUGUCGCAGGCCUGUGUGGAGUGGGCUGGUCGGCGCAGCCCCAGGACGCCGAGCGCUGGUGUGUGUUCCUCAGCUCUCCCUCUGAUGAGUCUUCACUCCAGCAUCCAGGAGUCUGACACAACACACAUGCAGGACAAUUAAUUUAAUUAAAAAAAAGUUUUAGCAAAGACGCAGCAAAGAAUUCAACUUCAACUUUACAUGAUAAACUAAGUCAAAGUUAACAGAUGGAGACACACGUCCCUGCCAAGAGCCCUCGGUGGAAAGUGCACUGUCUCACAUUUCUGUCGUAAGUAGGCUUGCACACACUGUACUAGGGUUAUAAUGUGAGGCGGGUGACAUUUAAGUAGAUCUGUGCCCAGGCAAACAGAAAGAGAGAGCGUGGGUGAGCAGAGUGCUAGAUGGCCUUCGGCAUUUGAUCGCGUGGUUGUUCACACCUCGAACAAAAACAACAUAGCUCUUUAACAGUUAAAAGGUAACAAAAACUCAAUUGUGCUUACUUAUAGACAAUAAUGAUUGUCAAUGUGGAACAGUAGACAAAUGCACUUUGCUAUAGGACUGUGGUUCUCAAAGCUGGAUCUUGAGACCAACAAUAAGCAGCAUGUCCAAGAAUAUUUUACAUGUAUUUACAAUGGUGGAAAUCAGAAUCCAACAUUAUCAAAAUUAGUAUAUUUAUUAUCAAGUUCUUCAUUAGUAUUAAUAAUAAUUAGUCUAUUUGACUUGUCACUUGAAUUGAAUGGGUUUAAUCAAAAUCUCAACAACUCAAAAACAAGUCAGCCUAUAAAGAAUAUCAACUAAACCUAACGUGUUCUGUCGUUGGAAAGUUCAGGAAUACAAAACUCUGUAAUAAAUAGACAAAUUAUUAUUGUACACAUUUAAAUAAUGUUCAUCAAAUAAACCUGGUUCCAUGGAAUUUAUUUUAUAGUUAAAUGUUAAAUUGUUCCCGGGCUACAAAUAGCUGCCCCUGUUUUAGGACAUUAACAUGAAUAUUAGCAUUUAUAAAUAUUUUUACUCUGUGAAAGUUGCUAGAUAAACCAAUUUCAAAUGUGAAGUUUUAAAAACAACAAAAUUUAGGAAUGUGGAGGUUGAUCAGGAAAGCAGAAAAUGCUGUUAUACAACAUUUAGCAACUCAGUUGAUGUUAUGUGUUAUGUGUUGGAGCGUUUCACACACAGUAACGAAAAUCAAGCUGACGUGCAUAUGUGAACUAUUGCCCUCAAAAACACAGCACAGUCUUCAUAACACUCGAACCAGCUCAGCCGGUUUAGGACAGUGCGACACCAACACACAUCAGACUACUACUGAAAAUUCAUUACAGUGGAAAAAAAGAGCAAAAAUAAACAGUGUCUUUUUCCAGCAUUUAGGAAGGACAGUAAGCUCUGAGACCAAGAAUGCACUAUACUGUCAGAAAUGAUCUGAUAUCUCAGAGUUGUGACACUGUCUAAUCUGAGCCACUGGAGUAUUUAUUUUAAAUAAAUGCUGGUGCUCAUACAAUGUUGAUGGACAGAACACAGAUCCUGAAGGGUGAAUCUUGUUCAUGAGUUGCCUUAAAGGACACCGUUCUCACAACAAGAAAUCCUGAACACAUACUGCCCCAAAUCCUAUAUGUUCGCACUCUUUUUCCGUUAAAUCAGUGGUGUGUGACUUACAUUUGCAUCGUAUUGGAAUAUGAUAGCAAUAUUUCAUAAAGUUUUGAGCGAAGUUAACACCACAUGACUAAAUACCCCGAUUUUGAAGUAAGUCAAUUAGGUGUGUGCCAAAAUUAAUUGUUCACAUCCCAUUAAUUGCAUAAACAUUUUUAUACCACAGCACUGUUGAACUAUCUUAUUGGUCAGAAGGUAUUGAUUAAUUGUCUACAAGUUUAAGUUCUGGAUACAAUGUUUAUAUAUAUAUAAUGCGCUUGUUCUAAUAUGUUAUCGUUUCCAUAGUAACAACUUACACAAGGACGUAUGGUUAAUGUUCUACAUAAACAGAUUUAAAAACAUGUUUAUUGUUGAUAUGGUGAAGUUUCCUAUUCAGCAUUUUUGGAAGGAGUCUCCAGUGGCAGCGUUUUGUAAAACAGUGACCGCUAAAGCUGCAGCUUUAGGUUUUACGACAUAGUGGAGUCUACGGAAAGAUGAGUUAAUGCUUUGCAGUUUCUCGGUAACCUGACAGUGUGAUAACAGGAACUAACUUGUUUCACGGAUGUUCCACAACAUUAAAUGUAAAUAUAACUGAUAAAAAGUGAAGUCAUAGUUUAAUAAAGAUCUAAUGUAAUGACUGGCAAAGUAAUGUUGUCAUUCAGUAAGUGCAGUAUCACAACCUUGCUCACUUUUAUGUUUGAGUGUUAAAUCUGUUAUUCAGCAUCAAACUGAAUAUAUCUAUUUAAAAAUGAUCAAUAAUUGGUGCCUUGUUACAAAGCCUUUUGCCAAAUAGACUUAGGGGGUGGUGAUAAUAUAAUAUUGUGUGUUUUACACACACACACACACACAAUAAAAGAACUGGUACUUCCUGGAUUAGCUCGUAAGCUGCCUAAACACAGCACUGCAAUGAAAUUAGCCAGCUAAGUACUUAGUUUAGCUAAUGUCACCCCUCCAGCAGUAGCUAUUUGUCAAGCUUGACUUUCCCUAACAAGCUAACUAGCUAGAUACCUAACAUUUGGCUAACCAUUAUAGUAAUUAAACACUUCUGGUCAGCUUCUCUAUCAAGUUAGCUAAUUAAAUCUAAACAUUAGCUCAAUAGCUAACAUUAGUCUAAAUGUUUGGUAUAUAACAUUAGGUCAUUACAUUAGGCCAGCUAUUAUAUAUUCGAUAAUAAACCAUUAUUCAAGAUUGUUAGCUGGCUGGAUAGGAUUAGGCUAGCUAUUACACUGUGUGAUAGCAAGUGUUAGCCCUCACUCCAGACAGAGAGAGAGAGAGAGAGAGAGAGAGAGAGAGAGAGCUACAUGGUAAUAACUGGAAAUGACUAAUUUGGGUGCAAAUAGUACGCGUUCGUGUUCGUAUUUUUUAUCCUGAUGAAAAUAUCCUCUGGCUAAAAACAAAAUAGAACAGCUCAUUAGCAUAACUAAUAGAUUCAGUUUGAUACAUGAAAUGAAUCAGAGAAAAAUAAAUGACUGCAUCUAAUGGAGCUCUGCAGCUAUUUUAAAAAAUGAAAGCAAGAGUGAACACUGUUAUUACAUGCUAAGUAGAACUGUCACAUAGAGAUACACAAAACCUAAAAGUGGAAGUUGACCAAAAAAUAAAACCAACAAAAUAACCUUCCAAAUUCACAAGCCGCCUAAAAUGGAUUCAUGUCACCAUUCAGCCUCAUGCCAACACAAACAGCUUGUUAUGACUGUCAACUCAGUGUUCGUGGAGGGCCUGAGCACUUGCCGCUGCGUGGUAAUUAGGCCACGCAGCAAACAACAGCCAUGGCAACAAACAGUGAGCUCUCGGGCUUCUCUGUAAAGCCGUGUCAACACUUCUGAUAAACUCUACACAAUGCAGCUAAUCUCAGCAUACAGCCUGAUGCGGGUCAGCACAGGUCCAACACUGACACAUUUACGAGCUUUAGGUUACUCAAUCAGAUCAAUAUGUCACUCUGUGCAUGUGUGUCCCUCUGCUCCAGGUUCAUAUAAGGAGAAUUUGUGUCACAGAAGAGCAUGUGCAGUCUGGGUUCAUGUUAAUGCAGUCACUACUCUUCUGUUCCACUUGGGAGGAGGCUGUCUGGGUAUACACAUCACCGCACUGUUGAAUUCUCAAUUCUGAUUGGUCAAGAAGGUGUUAUAUUUUCUAUAACAGCAGCUCUGACAAUACUUCCAGCUGCAAGGAUUACAUUAAAUGUCUCUUUCUAAUAUGCCACUGUUUCUAUACUAACAGCUAAUUCCAUAGUAACAGCCAAUAUGUCAUUGUUUCUAUAAAAACAGCUAAUCAUAUAUAUAUAUAUGAUAUAUGUGUUUCUACCCCAAACUGCCACAAAGUUGGAAGCACACAAUUUUACAGAAUGUCUUUGUAUGCUGUAGCAUUACAAUUUACCUUCACUGGAACUAAGAGGCCCAAACCUGAGCCAGCAUGACAAUGCCCCUGUGCACAAAGCUUCUUAAAGACCUCGAGAGCCCUGACCUCAACCCCACUAAACACUUUUGGGAUGAACUGGAACACCGACUGCACUCCAGGGCAGACAAGAUGAGGUCACCUCGGUACGCCACGUGAUGGAACAUAACCCGGGUUCCUCGCUGGGACGGCUGCAGCGCUGUGUGGGAGCGUCUCAGAGUCGGCCGACCCUGACCGCCGGUGCACAUUCUGACGUGUUGACACGUUCGCUCGCAAAGAAAACAAUCAACACACAGUGAAGCCCUGAGGCCCGACACACCUCGCCUCCGUAUCACAGCUGACAUGUACCAACAUUACUGCUUUACACCACAAUAAUUAGCUAACCUUUCAUUGUGGUUUAUGGUACCAUCACAGUAUUGUAUUUUUAUUUGAAAAAAGUGGGGAUAAAAAUAAUUUUAAAGUGUGACAUUACAUACUGCUAAAGCACUCUGUGCUUAGGGUGCUUUCUGGAUCAGACAGCCUACCUAGGCAGCCUCAUCCCUUAACCUCAUUGAAACACAGCCCUAACAGUGAUAUUUUGAAGAAGAGCAUGGAAGUAAUCAAAUUUUUUUUUGUUUUUUUUUGAUAUUGUUAGAAAUUACCUGAAUCCAUUUGCUUUAUAUGUCUAAUUUGAUGUGAAAAUACUGAAUAAAAUACUUGGGGCAUGCUAUUACGGGAAAAUAAUCAAGGACGGGAUGGUGAGAUGCAGCCUGACCAUCCCGAAAUUAAUUAUUUUCCUAGAACAGCACUUCACAAAAUGUCUGGUUCCUCUUAAACUGCAGCAUUUUACCAAGGCUAACAAUUUUUUUGUAUAUUAAAGGACAAAAUUUUUAUCCCUUUAUAGUAACAUUUAAUGUUGUGGAACAUCUGUGAAACGAUAUAGUAUAGCCACUAUAUAGUUUUUCCUCACCAGCUUCUUUUCUUUUUCUAGCACUUGAAAGUUAUACGAUGUUAAUAAAAAUGCAGCUUGUCAUGUUACCAUGAAAAACUUUCCCUUGUCGGAAAACGUAAAGCUCUGACACUGAGACUCCUUCCAAAAAUGUUAAAUGAACAUCUCCCCACAGAAAACCUCACCAUAUUAGCAGUUCCACACGUUUUUCAAUUCCUUUAUGCUCAGCGUCUGCCAUACAAGUCCCUGUAUAAGCUGUUAGUAUAGAAACGACAAUGUUUUAGACCUAGCGCAUGAAUAUAAACCUAUGAUUUGCCUUACAGCCUGAAAAUUAAUCACCACCUUCUGACCAAUCAGA